rnacentral:ncRNA from 2 species
AAAUAUCUUCAGGGCGAGGUGAAAAUCCUUGACCGGUGGUAAAGCCCACGAGUCUUUAUGGACUGAACUUGUGAAAUUCAAGUGCCGACAGUAUAGUCUGGAUGAAAGAAGGUUGCG